AUAAGUAAGUUCUAAAACUCUUGGUAAGUUACGUGUUAAUUACCAAUUUUAUAAAAGUCUACUCAACUUAAUAGAGCUUCUAUCCAUGCUACUGGAAGGAAAGGAAAAAGUAAGUCUAUGUUUUUGUUGUCUUCCUUCUUUGCUUCUCUAAUGUCCUAUCACAUGCAGCUAUGUUUCUACAGGACAUGGCUCAGAAUAGAGCAAAAGGGUCUGGAGGACAGGGCUCAGAAGGUAAGGGUUUAAAAUCAAUCCUGCAUGUGAAAAACGGUAGUAGCAAGGUCUGUCUUGCUUUCCUUAAUAGCAUCUUUAGGACUAUGGUAGCACAGACGAGGAAGGAAUAGUGAUUUCUUGAGUUCUUGCAGACUGUAACAGGAGAUAAUGAGCAUUAGAAAAGAGAUGGAGUGAUUCUGGACCUAACACAGGAGAUACGUGGGAGCUCAGUUGAUGACCUGAUGGUGAAGAAAAGCCGGGUUGGUAGCAGUGUGAGGAAGAAGGUAUGGAAGAGACAUGGCUAGGAGAAGUGAGCAAGUUCACGGAGGAAAACUUAGCAAGUCCAUGGAUACUUACUGUGUGUGAACUGCCAGUCUAUGACUGCAGAUGGGAAAAUUUUCCACUGUAAUAUCCACAGAAGGUGUACUUGGCAGUUUUUCUUGUCCUGCUGCCUAAAACAUGACACAUGAAUAGAUCGUGCCUACUGUAAUUUAAGCUCCUCUCAGCCACCCUUUCGAAGUAGAGGACUUCACUGCUGUGAGUGAUCUCCAGAAGUGUUGAGGUGUUUCUUGCCAUUCCUGUAUUGAUGACUUCAUUGAAGUCUUCCUCUUGUUUGUGGGUUGUGCCCUCACAUUUGGCUGGCAUUGACAGUGCUUCUGUUGCUGCAGCAGCAAGGUUGAUAGAGCCAAGAAACACUUUAGCCGCCUUCUCUGAAAGUUUUGAAUGAGACAGGAGUGAAACAACAUGCUCUGGUUUAACAGGCUGUGAAAAACUCAUCUAGUCAGGGAGUAUGGCUGAUCAAAUUGGACCCCAUGUCUGUCUGCAGGGUCACCAAAGGUAUAUAGGGGGAAAUGUUGCUGAACAACCUCAUUAGUCCCCUCAGGUUAGCUUUGAGGAUGGGAGUUUGAGUCCUCAGUGAUGGACAACUAGACCACAAUAUGUUACCUAAGUAAGGAGAAAAGUGGGAGUCAAACUUUAGACCCUGAGCAUAACCAACAAGGUGAAAUUCUUCACAUCUUCGAGGUGCCAUUGUAUGUAGUGUGAGCAUAACUCCAGAAAGCUGCAGAUACAGAUGUGGGGAAUUGAGACAUAGGGGUUGCACCAAAGUCGCCCGGACACAAGCAAAACUGUGCAGUGACCACCAUGGGAUGCUCUACCUGGUUUAGCAGCACAAGGCAUCCGUGGGUGUUGGACAAAAGAUGUGAGCAGUUCAUGUUGGCUGGUUUUUUAAAAGAACUCAUGCAAACUGAACAAGGUUUUGGUUCUGUUCUGGGCAGCUCCAGAAGUGAUUCUACAUAGAAGUGCUCUUUGACUUACUCAAAGGCAGGGGGAAAAAAAAAAGGGGUGUGACAGUUCAAACAGUGGAAAUACUAUUACAGAGGUAUUUUAAAAAGGGAUCAAAGCCAUUUUUUUCAGACUGUAAAAGCAGCUUAAUUAAAGGACUUCACAGCAGCAUUAGUCAGGAAAGCUGGUUGUAACGUUUGGUCCAGCAAGCCUAAUUCAUCUAGGGAUACAGAAUACUGCACAGAAUAAAAAUGAUACAUUCAGGAAUCAAGUUAGAGCUGUUUGAGUUAUGGCUGCUGGUAGCCCAGUACUUUGGAAAUGCAAGAAGGAGAGGUGAAGAAAGUAAGGAACAUGAUUUUAAUAAACAGAGUACACCACCUGUGUGGAAAGCCACCAGCCUGUUUAUGGUGGAUAUUUUAUUGCCCUUUUCAAAAAAAGACAUAAACAUGAAUAAAAUUCCAGUACAAUUAUGUGCAUAAAAUACUGGGGUUUGAUGAAAAGUAUUCUCAGUUCCUUUCUCUCCCACCUAUGUAAUAUCAAGUAGAUCAAGAAACCUCACACGGUGGACAAAAUUUGCUUUUUUUCUUUGCUUAGAGGAGGAUAGCUGAAGUCCUGUGGGAGAUGGUAUCACUAAAAUCUCUUCAUAUCGUAAUCCUGAAAUUCCUACUAACUCCAUACACAUAGCAGCUCUGCUCUGGAAAUUUGCUGGGAAGUGGGAGGGAUGUAAAGGAAAAACAAAGUCUCUUCUAUUUCACCUCUCUCUGGAAACACAGUGACUAGGAGAAUAAAGAUGCACAGCGAGGCUGGGGACUAUAGGGUGGAACUAGGCUUGGCUCAUGCAUAAAGUAAGCAGCACAAAUACCGUCCUAUAGUGGUAAUGUGGCUGCCCGAUACUGUUCAUACAUACGAAAAUACUUGAUAUUUGACCCUGCACGCCCAGCCUUCUGUAUGGCUUUCCUCACUCGAGAGUGCUAGGGGAUGAAAGAUCACUACUUUUUCUCAUCUGACCGCUGAUCAUCCUUUUCUGUCCUCUUAACUUGUCGUCCCAAUGCCCUCUGCUGCCUGACAUCAUUUCUCAUAGUGAGCUAUAAGCUCAGGAAACAGUGUGAUCAAAUUCCUUGUACAAGAGCACUUACAGAUUAUUUAUGGGCAUCUUGAUGUCUUUAAAAAUCACUCCCUAGGUUCUUUACCUUCUACCUUCAUUGUGACCUCCCAGGUCCCUUCCAAAAUGUCAGCACGUAGGGGCUGGCUCCAUUUGGCAGCUGCGAGGCUGUGUGCUGAGCAGCACCUCUUCCAGCCGGUGACGAGCACUUUGGUGUGCUGGCAAGUCCAACUAGCUGCCAGGCUAGAGUCUAUCUUCGUAAAUUGAAGAGUAUUCUGGUCAACUUCAUCAAAAUUCAGUGGUAAUCCAUACGUACUCAGGUUGCAGAACCUCACUCUGCAACACCUGAUGUCUGCAGUGGGAAAAGGGAAGAAGCAAUCCGAGCUAUGAAAAUAUAGCUGGUGAGUUCUGUUACUCAUCAUUUCUGUUUGGCUGGAGGUGUCUGUUGUUCUUCCUCUCUGUGCUUAGUUACUGACUUAAAUUCUUGUUGAGACACCUCUGAAUGUCUUAGUUCAGGUUAUCCCAUCUGUACGUUUCUGUCUAAAUAAGGCAGGGCAGCAGCUUGGUCCGUGGAAUGCUCUUAAAUAUAGUGAAUAAUUUGUCAGGCUGGACUGUAUGUCUAAUUCACUUUCACUCUUCCCUCCUUUGAGCAACAGAGCUGCUGCCAGCAAUCAAUCAGAGCUAGGUAGGAAUAUUGUGGCUUGAUUAUAUAAAUGAGUAUCAGUAUGCUAACUGUACCUUUGCGACCCCCAAAUGUGACAUAUUCACAGAAAAAUACAUGGAUGUUAACAGAGAAGUUCACAACAACUGUAUUUUUUAAGCUGUUGAAAAAAAGAAUGAUAGCUGUAGGUAAUUUUAGUGUCACAAGUGCAUGUAAUUUAGUAACAAAGCAAAUGAUUCCUCUGAGAUGUUGCCAGCAAUCAGAAAUUCCCAGUUUCUUGCCAAGCAUUAAAAGCUGCAGCCUUCAAGUGAAGCUGCUACUUCUCCUGCUUAUCUAAAUUUAGUUAAGACCGUAGAGUUGACCUCUUUUAUUUUCAGUUUUAGGGAGGCCAAGCGGAAAGGGCAGUACAGUGACUACCCUCUGGGCUCAACUUAUACCAAGAGCAUGAACAGAAGGAGGGAGAAUCCUAAGUAUUUAUUUCAUCUCUGUCUAUGAGACAGAAAAUUCCUGAUGCUGCAUUUCAAUCUCGGCAUAUGACCUGGGAGUCCUAUUUUUGCAGGUUUUUGUUUUAUUUUUUUUACUAACACGAGCUGUAUAGAGCUAGGACUCAACACUGUCUCAUCUCUCAUCCUGGGCUGCUUAAUGUACAUCAGGUCAUCAUAGAAAUUUUGGAUUUAAACCUAUGGUUUAAACCACAGUUUAACUGGCAUCCAGUCUCUCUUCGUGCACAGAAGUUGUAUUGGGUCUGAACAGAAGGUGGGUUAUUUGUGGGAAAUCAGGAUCUCAGCUAUCCAGCUUGCUUGAUGCUCUUAGACAAAACUAAGCAACUGAUACUUUCAUAGCAGUAGGAUUGUUUAUAUUAUGGGGUUAAAUUAGUAGAUUAAUAUUUCACUAUUUUUUGGCACUUUAGAAUAUUGAAGCAAAGUAAUUUGGAGACUCCUUCUUGUAUUCCAAAUACUAGCACAGGGCUUAGAAUUUGAAUCAGUCUCACGUGAGCACUGUAUAAAGAGACAAUACUAGAAAAACUCCAUUUCUGCCUGUGAUUCCUCUGUCUCUACAUCCAACAACAGUUACAAGAUCCACCUGUUUAUUCCCCAGAGUCCUGGGUUUUGAGCUGAAAUUUAAACGAGCAUUUUCCACACUCCAAGGCAGAACCUAUCCCUAACGGCAAGGUUGGUCUGAGAUGCAGAAGACAGACUCGCCAGCCAGCCAGUGUUGUCAGGCAGGAUGCUGUGGUAAGAAGGAAUGCAGUUCCUCUGUGAAAACAUAAAAGUGAGAGACAUGCAAUUUAAAUUCAAAGAACACAGAAAAAUAAGGAAAGCAGAGCCUGCCUGGACACCAUGAGACUCUCAGGAAUGGAUGGACUAAGGGCACCUGUGGCUCCUUCAGGUCCAUGCACGCAAUGAGAAGGGUGAGGAAAAGCACUUCUAAAACUAAAGAGUGUGACCUGAACUCUUGAAAUUACAGACUCUUUGUUCAAUUUUUCUGACUACAAGAUAAUCACCAUAGAUUAAUUUUAAACACCCCAAAGAAAAUUGUCUUUUAAAAGAGUAGCUCAAUUUCUUAAUGUAUUGGAUUCUACCAUAUUGCCUCCAAAAUCCAUUUAGAAUGCAAUUUGCUACUAUUAUUCCAUAGUAAUUAGAGUGUUAUCUAAUAACAACCAGUACGUUAUUUGGUGCUCAGAUGAUGUUAAUGUUGUGCCUAUGUAAGCUAGAGUGCAGAUCCUGCCCAAACCUACAUUCCAAGAUGACAACCUUCUCAGUUCACGUCAAAGAUCAUUUUGAAUCAGAAUAGCUUUUUCCCCAACCAUCAAACUACUUUUAGUCAGUGACUGAAGAACAGCAGUCCUUAGUCUUCUAACCCCAGUGAGAGGAAUCAUGAAAAAGAGGUUUAAGGCCAAAAGUAAAUUCAGACAAUGGUCAUGCCUUCUUAAAAUAAGGGCAGAGACACCUGCAUAUCCCAAUAUUAUCAGAUUGCCACAUCAAAGAACAGUUUAUCCACUAAAUCACACAAAUAAUGCAGGAGGAGAUGACCAAUGACAGAAGGUGAUAACAGUGAUACUUUAGAGUUUCAGUCAGCAUUAGCCCUGCAAACACUCGCUAAAUCAUUGAAACGUAGAUUGUGGUCAUUGCCUAUGGUCCUUGGUAGUAGUCUGCUAUCGUUAAAAUUACUCGUAACUUUGCUGUUGAUUUCUGUUGGAUUGAGGCUGAGACAUAACUCCUGCCAGAUGAAAUCACACAUAGGAAUUUAAACCAGGGCAACUAAUUUCUAGACAAUCUCAGGUCUCCCCAAAGGUAGUCCUCCCUGCUUUCUUUAUGGGACUUCAAACAUUCAGAGCUCUGGAGCUUUAAAAUAGCAUGUUGGUCCUCUGUAAGCUCUUUGCAAUGUGGAACACUAAGUGGCCUUGAGCCGCAGCCAGAAAGUUUACCUUUCAGCAGGGUCUUAUGCUGCAGGGAGCCUUGCCAAAGCCACGUUAUUCAGCAAUACCUUUGCGCUGCUUACUCCUUCUCAUUCGAAUGCCUAUGUCUGACAUUUGAUGUGGGUGGCUGUAAUAAGCUGACUCCACCGUCUCCCCUGUCUAUUUUACUCUCAAGUAUUCUCAGCAAUAGUGGAGUAAACCAUGCUGCCAAAGGGAGUUACGCUGACACUUCCCAAGAGAAGUGCCAUAGCAAAAUAUAACAGGGAGAGGAAAGUGAAGACAGGGAAGAUGUUAGACAAGGCUUAGGAUUUACCAGCAAGGCAAAGCAGCGAGUGAACAAUAUACACAACUCAGCUACACUGUAUGAGAUUUACUCUGGGUCAAAACAAUGGAAGCAGCUGAAAGCCUAUGCAGAAGCAAAAGCAUAGAAGAAACAAGGUAGAAAGAAUGCUUCUUUUUUAUGCUCAGUAAAGUGAGAAAUGUACAAUUUUUUGUUUGAAUGGGAUGCCAAACUGUAUCCAGCUGACUUGACUGGGAAAUGCCAAAGUAGAUGGUAUUACUCCAGGUGGGUGACAGACAAAAAUAAGCUGAAGUCAUCAGCUAGCUGUUUGUUUGCUACAGUUCAGCUGUAGCAUUAAGGUUUGUAAACAGUUUUUUAAAAGCAAAGUAUUCUAGCACCAAGUAAGAAAUUAACUACAGGUAUUUUUGAGUUUUCUUGUAUUCGAAACAGCAGCUACAGUUACGCAUCCUAAUAAAGGAAGGUAUUUGGGAAACAUUAAAUACAGGUAAAUACUAUUUUACAAUGGUGGCAAGUCAUUUACAAUCUAAAUGCACAUAGCUUUCCACAUGAGAUCUGCAGUAAAGAAAUCCAUAACCUCACAAAUAAUUAAAUAAAGAAUAAAAAAAGUUCAUCCAUCAAAAUUUUGGGGGAUAUGCAAGAAUAUUCUUGCUAGGUCUCUUGACUGUUUCAGUAAUGCUAAAUAUUAAACUGGUCUUAUUUCAUUUCCUUUCUCUUUUCUACACUGCUUGUGGAGAUGGUUUGGAAAGAAUCCAGCAAUAAGAUGUUCCUGUUCUGACUGGUGGUUGGGUUUUUUUCCUGCUGCUGUCACAGAGGUUGUUCUGUUUUAUUUGUUUAAUUUGGUUGUGGAUGUCAUUAUUGCUUACUAUAAAAUGGGCUUUUUCAUGCUUCUGGUAUACCUCUUUCUUUGCUAUUCUUCACAUCUUUUUUCUUUUGUAAGGAACUGAGCUGCUGCCCACAGACUUAAUCCUACUGUUACAAAUCCCCAAAGGAUCUCUAUUUUAGGGAACUCUUAUUUUAGUUCAGCAUAUCUUACAUAAUGCUUCAGCCCUCCUAUAGAGAGAUUAUUUUUUUAACUGCAAAUUUUCUGUAUGUAUUAAGAAGGUUUAAGAAGAGUACCACAGUAAAGAGUUUAUGCUGUGGCUGAGACUUACGGUCUACUUCGUAGAAGCCAGUGUAUGUUGCCAGCUGCACUCAGAGAAAAAAUAGGCUUAUACCAUCCACGAAGCCAAUUCUAGUACCACAGUUAGCAGAGGGGUAAUGGACAAGGGCUUUAAGUAGCCCUGGUCUUCCUCACUGAGGAAGGCUGAUGCAAGAUCAAGCCAGAAACAGAGAGCUGCGUCUUGUCGGGGAGCAAGGACCAAACGCAGAAGACAGGAGCUAGCAUCAACAAGUGGGAGUCUGAGGAGCUGGUCACCUGGAGAGUAGCUAUGGAGCAGGCAUAAAUAUAUUCCUUGUUUCAAGCAGGUAUUUGCAAGGGCAGCCAGGUCUAAGCAACUCCAAAGGCUUGUUCGUUAGGUAGACUUACGAACAUCAGCUGAGAGGGAUUUGUUCCAAAUGAAUGGAUCUAGUUCAUUUGAUUAAUGAACUGAAAAAGAUCUUGAGGCUGAUCUGUUAAGUCAUUAGAGUAAAAUGCUACUUUUUUUUCUUUUAGAAAACAGUAAAGGGGACUCAUGAAUUUGAGCGCUGUAAUAAAAGCCACUUAGUUCCUUGAUUUUCGAUACUAAAAUACAAUUUUUAUGGUGGAGCUUGCAUACUCUGAGAGUUCUUCGGGAUGUUUUAUUAUUUCAGUAACCCAACUGCAGGCUGCUUCUCUUGAUGUCUUGACCUUAAUAGCACACUACAUCACCAACUACAUCUGACUACAAAAGACACCUCUCACUGGAUUUGAAGCCAGGCUUGCAGGUUUGCCAUCUGUACAGCUGAGGGUGGUCUCUCCCUGCUCCUUAGUGGUGCGCAGAUGAGCUUUUAUCACAGAACCUAGCAAAUGUGAUGGAUACAGACAUGUCAGACUCCCUAGGCAGGACGUUGCAAUUCAUCGCUUGACUUCAUCUUGAUCGCUUCUCCUGGCAACUCCAUACGGUGGGUUUGCCUCUCGCUGUUGGUCUUUCAUCUACCUUAUUACUCCCAGGUGGUCAGGCGGAUUCAUGAUCUUCCUCACUAAAGAGGAGGUCACAGCAGUUCAAAGGAGAAGCUGGUGGCCCUGCCACCAACUGCAUGCUUCUCAACUGAGACCUGUGUCAACAAACCCUACCAGUAGGAAUUUUUCCCUGAAAAAAACAGCCUGAUAUUGCAGGCCAGAAGCUGUUGCGUAGCCCAUAGGCCAGGUACUUCCCUUCAUCAGGUCACCCAGCUCAGGGGCUGUUUCACAACUGGGUUCAGAUAACUUCAGAAGUCUACUGAUAGCAAUGAAUUCAUUCACACUAACAGAGUGUCAGUUUUAGCAGCAGCAGCAACCAUGCUGUUUUACACAAGCAAAAUGCUACUUUUUUUCUGCUAUCUUAUGAAAACAAGAAAACAGUUGUUUCCUUCUUUACAGUAUAAUAAAAAUGCAUACAUCUUUUGCAGAUUUAAUGUAAGAUCUGGAGCAGUAACUCUAAUUCUAAACUUUCUCUCUCUGUAAGCUGAACAAAAACUGAAUAUUCAAGCAAUCAAUAAAGGAAAUACGUAUUUGAUACUAUGGGUAGGGAAGAUGGGGCAACCCACAUGUGUAUGUUUCUUAAAUUUCUGUCUCACAAAACUGCCGGAGUUUUGCAUAUAGUAUCAUUAUUUGGUUUCUGCAGACCCCUGUUUCCUCUCCUGUUUUUUUAAAUGUGGAAACUGGAAAGGAAAAAAGGCAUGAAACAUACAAAUUGUUCAGGGAGGUUUAGUUAAUUAAUCGAGCCACUAAGAGUGCUCUUGGUCUGGGCAACAGUCAGUACCAAGUAUUGCUGGCUUACUCUGACAUACUAAUUGAUGAGAAUGUUGUUUUACUGAGAGCACUCUAAAAAAAAUUUUUCUAUAUACAUUUUCCAAUUAGGGGACAUGAACUGCUCUUUGUUUAAUAACGAAAAAAAAUGGCUACAUCAUACUGUAACCUCUUUUAAUAAAUACUUUUAUCAAAUGCAUAGACAAUAUAUUUAUUCAUUUUAACCUUUAUGCAUUUUCAAAUGUGCAAACUAAGCUUGGUCAGAAAAACUGUGGAACAGGUUUCUAAAGGUGCCUUUGUUUUUUCUUUUUGUGAAGAUUUGUUAUUUUAAUAGUUUAGACUGGUGCACCAUGAAAAAUAGUGUCAGGUUUUUAAUUUGCAAACAGCCAUAAUUUUUACCAGUGAUGUAUAGCUUAUAUUGAUAUGAUUCACACACGCUCCAUUUUCUGUUCAGGGGACUGAAAAAACCCACCCACUGCACCAAAGCCACAACCUACAUAUUUUCCUCAGUCAUUUAAAAAAGGAACAUAGCAUGCUGGAACUGCCUUUUUGCUUGACAGCCAGCAGCAUGCCAAUUUAGAGCUCACUUAGUAAAAUAUAAAACUGAAAACUGUAAAAGAGGAAAGCAGCAUGUAUAUGUACCUGUCUUUAUGUACAAGGUAGGAUAUGAUAGAUCUUUCUAAGAAUACUUCUCCAAAAACUCUAACAAAUUCAGAGAUGCUAGAGGGAAAAAAACCCACACAAGUAAUAUGUAAUUACAGAAGUACAUAACGGAUAUUGUAUUCCCCAUUUGACUUUUACUGGUGGGUUUUCCCCAUCUGUUUUCUUCUGAAUGGUAUUCCCCUAUAGUCACAAGCAGAACUGAUCACCCAAAGGUUUCAAAUCGUACUCCUGAAAACUUUGGAGCAAUUUUCAAGUAGUGCACUGUAAUUAGUUUAGCAAAGAAGAUAACAACUGCUGGCAAGCACCAAGAUGCAUUAAAUAAGGUAAACCCAAUCAAAAUAUUUUUUCAUGUUGUUCGAUCGGUUCUUUUUGUAUCAAAACCUCAGCUGCUAGUGUCCUUUACCAGAAAGUACCACGUGCAGAAAUAUUUCAGACCUACAAAAUAUGAUCUCUUGUAUUACACCAGAUGUCUUUGUUGUGUAUUUUCAUUAACUUUUUAAAGGACGCUAAAGUUGCUUCAGCUAAAAAUGAGUGAAAAAUUAGUCCAAAUGAAACUGUACGUAAGAAAAAGUUCUUAAUGUAAAUUUACAUUAAAAAAGACUGAACAUUCCAAACAACCCUGAACUCUCCACCUCCUCCUCAUAAACAGUAAUAAUAAAAUAGAGCAAAGUCUUUUAGAAGGGAAUAAUGUGUAUGUCCCUCAGGAAUCACGGUCCAGUUUCCUACAUGAAGCUGUAUGCAAUGAACACUGACGCAUUUUAUCACUCUGUAUGCAUGUAACUCCUUCACAGUCUUCCAGGUAAAAAAGUUUUGCUUUGCAAAGAUCCUUAACUCUCCUGAGUUGAGGAAGUCAGAAUCCCAAAAUACCAUGUGCUGCUGCUGCUUCACUGUGUGCUUUGUAAUGCUUUCAAAGUCUGAGCCUGGGGAAAAAAUAGUUAAAGAAUUAUAAGCGCUUUGGGCAAAAGUAUAUUAAGUUGCAAUAUUUUCUUUGGUUUUGAUAUCUACUAAUUCAUUUUUUGCUGUUGUUUGUGUGAUUAUUUUUUUUAAAUCCAUAUUGGGAUACAUGCUCUUAUUUGUAAUGACAAAGUUGAAUAGUUGUACCUUACACUUAGAAAAGGACAUGGGGAACUUACAGUAGCAAGUUAACCCUGCUGAACUCAUUCCAGGUUGAAUCAGCAUCCCAGAGAUGUGUUCUUACAAAGCUAUAAGUUAUUCUUAUACCACAGAAUUGCAUUACAGUAAAAGUAGUGCUCACUGAUCUUCUUAAUUCACGUUUACAUGAUUUUGGGGCUCACCUUGGUACCUUGGGGUUGAGAAUUGGAAUUUCAAUUUUGUUUUCAGCUAGGAGGCUGAAUCUCACCUCUCCCACAGGUACAGGAGCUAUACAGCCUUCCCCCUGGAAAUAAGGGUAACAGGAGAACUAGAUUUCUAAGUGAAAUAGUCUGAGCUAUUAACAGAUCAUGUACAGGACAACAGGCACUGCUUUGGGUUUUUACUGUAGACUUCAGUGAUAGCUGUCUGCCUACUUUGCAGAUGGAAGUUUGAAAAUACAAGCUUUAGGUGUUUUGGGAGUAAUACAAAGAUCAUGGGUUUACAUGUCUAAAUUCUGCCUAAGCCCCAUUAAAAAAAAACCCCAAACCUUAAAAAGUAACAUGACUGUUUCAAUACCUUCAACAAAAGUAAACAGCUGCUCCAUUUUUUUCUGGAUAGAUACAUCUAUCUUGCUUGAUCUUAAUAUACAGUGACUUUUUUUUCCGAAUAUGUUGACAUGGUUCUUUCAAACUAACUUCAGAAAUUCAACAGAAUCCCAUGGACAUUCUUCUUAGCAUCUGCAAUUUCAGUAUUUUUGUAAUUUGUGCUCAUAUAUUUAUUAUUUGCCAAUACUGAAAAGCAAGAUGCUACCUCUAAAGACGUUGCAAAGGGCAACUGUCCUAAGAUGGAAAAUACAGCAUUGUCAAUGGAUAUGAGUGAUCAUGUAUGGCCCAAGCUCUAAAUUAAAGUAAUUAUGGCUAACAUACUAUACUCAAAUGCCAAUGCAAAAUACUGGAAGCAGCUGUGUGCAAAAAAAAAAGUAAACACUGCAUUGUUGUUUUAUAUAAUGUACUUAAUAGUUUAUGUAAAUCUGUUGCUCAGAAAUGUUACAUACUUUGAGCAAAUGAGACUAAUUUUUUUUUAUUUACACAUACCUAUUAGAAUAUGGAACUGAAUAUACAAAUCCCGAAGGGGUCUAUUUGUUUUGAGGGAUCUGUUUAAAAAUGGAUCAUCUCAGAAAAAAAAACAGUUCAGCACUUCCACAGUCUUUAGAAAGCAAACUUCAGGACCUUAUGCUCAAGCCCUUUUGUCUUUUGAACUUGGUAGUACUUGGAAAAAAAAAUAAAAUUGUUUAAUCUACAGUAUUCUAGACAUAUUCGUAUAAAUUCUUAUGGCACUUUCAUUAUACCUGUUUCUUUUUCCUUUAACGUUAAAUUAUUUAGCAUUGUUGCACGCUCUUUGACAGCUACUGCAUUCAGUCCCUAAAACCCUGGUUUUUAUUUGCAAGCUAAAACUAUUCUUUGUAUUUCUGUAACCUGGAAGGCAAUGACUAAUACACAACUCGUUUGCCACACUUGAUCUUA